UACGGGGGGGGCAAGCGUUGUUCGGAAUUACUGGGCGUAAAGGGCUUGUAGGUGGCCAACUAAGUCAGACGUGAAAUCCCUCGGCUUAACCGGGGAACUGCGUCUGAUACUGGAUGGCUAGAGUUUGGGAGAGGGAUGCGGAAUUCCAGGUGUAGCGGUGAAAUGCGUAGAUAUCUGGAGGAACACCGGUGGCGAAGGCGGCAUCCUGGACCGGCAUUGACGCUGAGGCGCGAAAGCCAGGGGAGCAAACGGG
rnacentral:rRNA from 1 species